CUUUAUGAGAGUUUGAUCCUGGCUCAGAAUGAACGCUGGCGGCGCGCCUAAUACAUGCAAGUCGAGCGAGAAGACGUAGCAAUACGUUUGUAAAGCGGCGAACGGGUGAGGAAUACAUGGGUAACCUACCCU
rnacentral:rRNA from 1 species